CCUAAUACAUGCAAGUCGAACGAACUCUGGUAUUGAUUGGUGCUUGCAUCAUGAUUUACAUUUGAGUGAGUGGCGAACUGGUGAGUAACACGUGGGAAACCUGCCCAGAAGCGGGGGAUAACACCUGGAAACAGAUGCUAAUACCGCAUAACAACUUGGACCGCAUGGUCCGAGUUUGAAAGAUGGCUUCGGCUAUCACUUUUGGAUGGUCCCGCGGCGUAUUAGCUAGAUGGUGGGGUAACGGCUCACCAUGGCAAUGAUACGUAGCCGACCUGAGAGGGUAAUCGGCCACAUUGGGACUGAGACACGGCCCAAACUCCUACGGGAGGCAGCAGUAGGGAAUCUUCCACAAUGGACGAAAGUCUGAUGGAGCAACGCCGCGUGAGUGAAGAAGGGUUUCGGCUCGUAAAACUCUGUUGUUAAAGAAGAACAUAUCUGAGAGUAACUGUUCAGGUAUUGACGGUAUUUAACCAGAAAGCCACGGCUAACUACGUGCCAGCAGCCGCGGUAAUACGUAGGUGGCAAGCGUUGUCCGGAUUUAUUGGGCGUAAAGCGAGCGCAGGCGGUUUUUUAAGUCUGAUGUGAAAGCCUUCGGCUCAACCGAAGAAGUGCAUCGGAAACUGGGAAACUUGAGUGCAGAAGAGGACAGUGGAACUCCAUGUGUAGCGGUGAAAUGCGUAGAUAUAUGGAAGAACACCAGUGGCGAAGGCGGCUGUCUGGUCUGUAACUGACGCUGAGCUCGAAAGUAUGGGUAGCAAACAGGAUUAGAUACCCUGGUAGUCCAUACCGUAAACGAUGAAUGCUAAGUGUUGGAGGGUUUCCGCCCUUCAGUGCUGCAGCUAACGCAUUAAGCAUUCCGCCUGGGGAGUACGGCCCGCAAGGCUGAAACUCAAAGGAAUUGGACGGGGGCCCCGCACAAGCGGUGGAGCAUGUGGUUUAA
rnacentral:rRNA from 2 species